UGCUGUUUCAUGCUGAGGAACGCUGGAGGUACAUUUGUUUCUGAGAUUCUUCGUAUAGAUUCGAGACCAGAGAUCAGGGGAUUGGUGGAUCAGGAUUAUUCAAAAGUUUUUCAACGAAGAUGAUAUUAAGGAAUUUGAGCUGACCAGCCUAUUAGAUGGAAUAUUUGAUGUUGAUUCCACCUGCAAUUGCAUGCCUCUGUGUACGGAAAUUUCAUAUGAUGUAGAAACUAGCAGUACAUUAUAUUCAUGGAAGAAGCAAAUGCAAGCCGAAAGAGCAAUUACGUUCCUGGAGGAAAUGUACUUAUUGAACGUUUCGGAACUCCAUAUUUCGAAGUUAUCCAUUUUUUUCAAGAGGGAUAAAUUUCUGACAUCUCAACGAAACGAGCUCUAUGGCCCUUUUGAUUUCUUGGCAAACUUUGGUGGACUACUGGGGCUUUUCACAGGAUUCUCCUUGUUAUCAGCUGUGGAAAUUUUUUAUUUUCUAACUGUACGAUUGUGGUGUAAUUUUAUGCUUGACAGUAAUUUUUGAGAAAACUAGAUUGAUUGGAGUCAAAAUACUCUGCACUACAACUAUAUCAUAUCAUGACUACAAAUUUCAUCUUAUCCUUUUUCGUGUUUUGACUAUGUUUCGAAGAUUU